ensembl:lncRNA
CCACCACUGCCUGCUGGAAAACCUGUUUCUGGCAGUCUGGAGCUCUUAGGAAAAACACCACUCCUCGCCUGGCCUGCAAGGCAUAUGGGAUGUUAGCUGCCGGAUCAUACCCACAACCUGCUGUGUUGGAAGAUGAAGUCUUAACUGCUGAACCGCCAGGGAAGCCUGUUUUCUUUCUUUUAAAUAUCACUUGUCUCUGAAAUUUUCCAGUAACUGGCCUAAGCUCACUCAGUCUUUGUGGAAGGAGUAAAUGCACUGAGUGUGAGCUGUCAGGAGAAAGGUAACCCAGCCAGUGAAUGCCUUGGGAGGACAGCUGCCCAAGAGGAGGCAGAAGGGCUGGCACUAAGGGACAAAUUAGGAAAUUGCCAAAUAGAUAGAGAAGAAAAGGGUGUGUGGUGGAAGGAACAGCAGAAGCAAAAAGGCCCAGAGGGGUAUUCCAUGGUGUGAAUGGACCACAGUUUCUUUCUUCAUUCAUUUGUUGAUGGACAUUUGGUUGUUUCCAGUCUGGAUCUGUUAUGUAUAAAGAUAACUUUUUGACCACACCGUGGAGCGUGUGGGAACUUAGUUCCUGGACCAGGGAUCAAGCCCACACCCCUGCAUUGGAAGCAUGGAGUCUUACCCACUGAACCACUAGGGAAAGUGAAAGAGUAAAAGUGAAGUCGUUCAGUCAUGUCCAACUCUUUGGGACCCCAUGGACUAUAACCUACCAGGCUCCUCAGUCCGUGGGAUUUUCCAGGCCAGAAUAUUGGAGUGGGGUGCCAUUUCCUUCUCCAGGGGAUCUUCCUGACUCAGGGAUCAAACCCGGGUCUCUGGCAUUGUAGGCAGACGCUUUACCAUCUGAGCUACCAGGGAUUGCGCUGAACCACCGGGGAAGUCCCGUUCAUAUCUUUUUGUGGACACAAAAAAAGUUUCCUUGGACUUCUCUGGUGGUGCAAUGGAUAAGAAUUCACUUGCCAAUGCAGGGGACACGGGUUCAACCUCUGGUCUGGGAAGAUUCCACAUGUCAAGCAGCAACUGUGUCUGUGCGCCUUAACUACUGAGCCCAUGCUCUAGAGCCCACGAGCCACAGUUACUGAAACCUGCACGCUCUAAGACCCGCAAGACACAACUAAUGAUCUACUAAUCAGUCGCUCCUGUGCUGCAGCUACUGAAGCCUGAACACCUAGAGCCUGUGCUCGGAAACAAGAGAAACCACCGCAAUGAGAAGCCUGCACACAGCAACUAGAGAGUAGCCCCCACUUGCCGCAACUAGAGAAAGUCUGCGUGCAGCAAUGAAGAUCCUGUGCAGCCAAAAAUUGAAAAAAUAAUAAGUGUGUAUAUGUCAAAAAAAUUUUUUCAAUGUUUCAUUGAUUGGUAUGAGGACAGCUUAGUCAUGACAUAGGUGCCUGUUCAAUGCAAUGGGUCUGAUUGGAAAUGAUUUUUUCUGUCUUCGGGGGGUGGGGGUGGACAUUAGCAAUGUCUGGAGGCAUUUCUGGUUUGGAGACAUUGAGGCAUGGGUGUUACUGGCAUCGAGAGGCCAAGAAUGCUCCUAAACAUCCUACAAGGCACGGGAUGGCUCCCACUGCAAAGAAGGAUCUGGCUCAGAUGUCAAGAGUGUUGGGCUUGAGGUUCCCUAGUUAACCUUAUUACAAACUGCCAAAUCAUUUUCCAAAGUGGUCUUCUCAUUUCUGGUUCCUCCACAGCCCCUCCUCCAACCUCGGUACUGUAAGUCUUUUCCUUUUUAGCUAUUUGGGUGGGUGUUUAAAAAUCUUUCCUAUCUUAAAAUAAUUCUGAACUGAAUCAGGCCAAUAUGACAAAUGUGAACAUUUUUUCAUCUUGGGUGGUGGAUAUACUUUAGCUGGCUCUAAUCUUUUCUGGAUUUAAAGUUUGUGGGAUUUUUGUUUGUUUCUUGUGGCUUUCUUGUUGCUUGUUUUGAAUAGUAGAAGCUCCCCC